rnacentral:lncRNA from 1 species
GAGACAUGCUGAUUGGUGAUACAUCACCUGAUGUCAUGUAGCCCCGCGACGCCUGCGAGAUGAAAGCCGGCGGGAAGUGUUUGUGCAGCCGGUAGUCCUUCUCGCUGCGGGACCGCAUGCGGUCGGAGGCCCGGUCGGAGAAGUCGGAGCUAGGCCAGGCCCGCCGCAAGGUCGUGCUCCGCGUCUUCUUCAUGCUGAGGAUGCCCGAGCGGUGCCCCCGCAGCAGCGCAGCACGGGCCGGGCCUCGCGGCGCUCCCG